UUAUUUGGAGCUUUUAAUUUUUUGAAAAUAAAAACGAAACAAAUCAACGUUUAGGUGUCAGCUAAGGUCAAAAUGAAAACUGUUAUUGUUUUCCGGUGAGAGUAUUCAUUCGUGCAAAUAGUAAGAGGUACCAAUAUAUUAUAAUAUUAUAUGACUUUUCGCUCAAAUGUAUAAUGCAUUUCAAAUCGAUUCGCCAAAAUGGACCUUGUUUCGUGACAGUUAUCGCGUCGG